rnacentral:miRNA from 1 species
UGAGGCAGGAGAAUUGCUUGAACCCAGGAGGUGGAGGAUGCAGUGAGCAGAGAUCGAGCCACUGAACUCCAGCCUGGGUGACAGAGGGAGACCCUGUCUC